rnacentral:rRNA from 1 species
GCAUAAUAAAUAGUUUUUUAAUUGGAAACUGGAAUGAAGGGUUAAAANNAAAAAGAAAGUUUUAUUUAAUGAUUUGAAAUUAAAUUAAAAGUAAAAAUGCUUUUAUUAAGCUUUGGGACGAGAAGACCCUAGAAGCUUAAAAAAAUUUUUUAUUGGGGUAAUAUUUGAAGACAAAAAUUUUUGGAAAGUUACUCUAGGGAUAACAGCAUUAUUUAGUUAACAAGUUCUUAUUAAUAACUAAGUUUGUGACCUCGAUGUUGAAUUAAAU